AUAUCGUGGAGUGGGCAUGCUUGUAUGUACUCCUUUAAACGUUCCCAGGCCUCUGGGAUUGUCUCAUCCGAUAGUUGCUGGAUACCAGAGAUUCUGUUCCGGAGGGC